UCAGAUCAACGGUACUGUUUACUUUUUUAUUGUGGAUGUUUUGAGAGGAACGAGAAAAAAGGGAGCUCCUGAGAAUUUUCCAAUGUGAUUCUAAAGCUCAAGCAACAGAAAUCCCAUUUCAAAACUGUUUUCUGACAGUUCUUAAAUAAAUUACAGUCAAUAGAGAAUGACAGAGACAAACCCCGUCAGCAGACUCACCAACCAGUGAGACCAGGUGAGCACCCAGCAGGGGCGUACAGGUGUGGCGCAUGAGACCAGACCCCAAUGUGUGUGCACAUGUAGACCCAGGAGCUCAGGACCUCCUUGACACUGAGAAUGACUUUGGUCCACUUUGGGGGAGCUCUGGUCCUCACCUUGUGCAUCGCUUCCUGGCUCCAGAGAGGAAGAUGGCGCACUGCCAGUCUCCUGGAGAAGCUUGCUGCAUUGGCUUUCCUGAUGGGAACUCGGUUGUCUUCAACACUGGAGGAGCUUGGGACCUCA
rnacentral:lncRNA from 1 species